ensembl:snRNA U6 U6 spliceosomal RNA
GUGCUUGCUUUGGCAGCACAUAUACUAAAAUUGGAACAAUACAGAGAUUGGCAUGGCCCUUUUGCAAGGGUGAUACCCAAAUUUGUGAAGUGUUCCGUAUAUUG